CAAUAGCGUAUAUUAAAGUUGUUGCAGUUAGAACGCUCGUAGUCGGAUUUCGGGUCGGGCCGACCGGUCUGCCGAUGGGUACGCACUGGUCGGCGCGUCCUUCCUCUCGGAGACUGUUCCUACUCUUAACUGAGCGGGAGCAGGAUACGGGACUUUUACUUUGAAAAAAUCAGGGUGUUUCAAGCAGGCAGCUCGCUCUUGCAUGGAUUAGCAUGGGAUAAUGAAAUAGGACUUUGGUGCUAUUUUGUUGGUUUCGAACACCGAAGUAAUGAUGAGAAGGGACAGUCAGGGGCACUCGUAUUCCGCCGAGAGAGGUGAAAUUCUCAGACCAGCGGAAGACGAACCACUGCGAAAGCAUUUGCCAGGGAUGUUUUCACUGA
rnacentral:rRNA from 1 species